GCAAAGUAAUACCAACUCUUUCAAUUUGUCUUUUAGUUUGGAAUGUGGAAUACUUGUGUACAGAGUAGAAAAGUCAAAUGUUUUAAUACUGUUACAAGAUGAAAGAGAGUUAGAUUGUAUGUACUCUAAAAGAUCUUUUGAAUUUUUAAGUAUCCACAUCUGAUUCACGCCACCUCUAGAAUAGGCAGUUUCACAAUAACUUUGAAGCCCGUCUUUGAUUGCUGAUAAAAUAGAUGUUAAUAAUUUAGAAAGAGGUUUCGUGGAGCACUUGGAAGACCCAGCAAUAUACCGUUGUUUGUAAGGACACUUAUGUAGUUUAGGUAUCCAAUACAGUGAUGGAAGAUCCAGUUCUUCAUCGUUGGUUGAAAUUCCAAAGGAACAUAGAACAGACCUAUGAUUAUCCAGGAUUUCCUCUUUGGUAAGUGUCGUGAGGGUAUAUGUUGAGUUUCCAAGUGAAUUGUCAAUACCUAAUUCGUUUAUCAAGCAGUUGAUGUAGUGACUUUUACACACAAAAACGAUGUUAUUUGGGGCUUUAUCUGCGGGGACAACAACAUAUUUGUCAUGGAGGUCGGAUAGGUGUUUUGCAACAUUUGGGUCUUUAAAGAUUGACGUAGCAUGGGCAUUGAUGGACCCAUUCAGUUUCUUAAUUCUGAUUUGUAUCAACGACCUCACUGCCUUAAUCCAUUCGGAAAGAGUGUCUACGUCUUCCUUCUCGCGCU
rnacentral:lncRNA from 1 species